CUUCACAUUUGGUUUCGCUAAAGAGCAGAAGCUCUUAUCUUUGCAACUCCUAGUAUGUGCCGUGCUUACUGUAAUCCAUCCCCGGCGUAUCCUGACUAGAAAUACACGGCCUUUCCGAGAGUCGCGGCUGCCUCCUGAGACCUAUGAGAGCUAUUUUCCGAGAACAUCCACUAGAGGGUACUCAACGACCUUCCAGUGAAGGCGGUUUCCAACCCAGCGACUGCAAGAGGAGAGAGAGAGAGAGAAAAUGUCCCUGCCAGCUCCACCACAGGUUCUCGGAAAGUUCAAGUUCUCCUUCUGUCUUUGAUCAUUAGAGAAGAGGAUUUUGUCCUUGGAAUCAAUGACAGCAUGUAGAUGUGGGGGCUGGACUGACUGUUUGCUUUGUCUCGCUAUAAAAUGUUACAAGUAAGGCAGAACUGGGUCUGAUGACAACGUGACGUUCCAGUUUCCACUGAGAUGACACCAGCUGCACUCAAAAUCAGACUUCCCAGAAGAUGAAGUACUUUAGCUUUACUGGUUCCCAAGGGAGUCUGCAGGUGUGGAUUAAGGGCCACCCACCUUUCUCUGUUCAUCUCAGUAAAUCAUGCACCCUGAAGUGGUUGCAUGUUACUAUGGCUGUCAGUUGCUGGAAAAAAAACUUAGCAGUGCAUUUAAAAAGAGCUAUUAAAAGCUGGGGGGGAAAAAAAAAAAAAAAAAAAAAAAGAAGUUUCAUUAUAAAAAAAUCAAACACACAAAAACAAAAUAUUUAAUACAUAAAUAGAAUAGAAUGAUUAUUUUCCACGAGGAAUAUUUUCCAAGCAUAUUUAAUGAAAAGGCAUAGGUGAUGGGAGCCAGACUGCAAAAUUCUCUUUCUGCUCUGGACCCGGCCCCCUCCGUGUACACACACAUCUCCUGCACCCACACACGCCCAGGAUGUCCUUGGUGUGGACGUGCAGAUCUCUGUGUCUCCUGCCCACAUCAAGAGCUGCAAACCAGACAGAGGGGGACUUAUGCCCACAUACAGUCCCUCUGACACCUCCUUGUAGGCAGAUUGACUAGAGCCUAACUUCUCUUCCAAGGAUAACCAUAAGCGGUUUGGGUACUGAGAUCAGGAGCUCAGGUGGGUCUAGGGUUUGAACAUAUAGGGGUUAAAUAAGCUAGCUUUAGAAAGUGGGGAAGGAGAACGGCAUCUCAACAUUUCAUGGUCAGCUGUGCAAACACAAAGAAAGGAACAAUACAAAAUGAAUGGGUUUGACCGGUUUGAAUGCACCGUAAGAAGGUCAGACCGAGGAAGACGUCGAGCCUUUGCGAGGAAGACUUCUGACUUCAUCCCCACAACCACCAGAGGGAGACCCCUACUACGGACAACGCAUGUGCCAGGGGAGGGGCAGUAUGUAAAUGAAUUUUCGGAGGGAUAAUGAAUAUGUAGAUGAGUUCCAAUAAUCCUGCUGAAUAUGUAUGGACUUGGCUUACAAAUUUGUAGUGUUUUUGCUUGCUGGUGUGCAAGUUUGGUGGAGUGAUCCUCCUUGCACCCGGCCGGCCGAAUAAACAUACCUGCUUUAUAACCUAACUGGGUUAUAGAGUUUGAUUCCACACAUCAAUACCUCCACCCUGGGGUGCAACUUAGAAGGCUUUUCCCUGUGUUCCCUUGUUUUCUGCCCAUUUUCUGAAGCCCAUCAAUUUUUGUUUCAUAUGGUUUAAGACAGAGUGGCUAAAAAUGUCCCAAACAUUCAAAAUGCAUGAAGACCACUGAUUUAAGUGGAAUUAUCC
ensembl:lncRNA